rnacentral:rRNA from 1 species
AUGUACGACUACAUACAUACACCAAUGCUAAUAUACCAUGAGUCAUCACAAGUUGUUGAAGGCCUGCGUUCCCCGGUUGUACCCGUAGUAGGAGAGGUACCACCGGACGAACUUCUUGAGCCCCAUCUCGAGGCUGGUGGUGGGCUUGUACCCGAGCUGCUCCCGCGCCAGGCUGAUGUUGGCGUGCGUGAAGGGCACGUCCCCGUUCCCGGGCAUCUCCACCACGUUCCUCUUGGCGUUCACCCGCAGGUACCUCUCCAGGAUCGACACCAGCGUCGGCACCGUCACCGGCGCCGUGUUCCCCAGGUUGAAGAUCCUGUACGGCGCCGGCCCGCGCUUCCUCCCGCCCGUCCCCGUGCUCCGCCCCGCCGUGUCCAGCGACGCCAGGCACCCCCUCACGAUGUCGUCGAUGUAGGUGAAGUCCCGGGCGAGGUCCACGUGGUCCCUGCCCCGGUACACGGUGAUCGGCUUCCCCUGGAGGAUGUUGCGGGUGAAGGAGAAGUAGGCCAUGUCCGGCCGCCCCCAGGGCCCGUACACGGUGAAGAAGCGCAGGCCGGUCACGGACAGGCCGUAGAUGUGGUUGUAGGUGUGGGUGAUCUCCUCGCCGGCCUUCUUGGUCGCCGCGUAGAGGGACGCCGGCCGGUCGGUGCGGUGCGCCUCCGAGAAGGGCACGGCGUCGUUGAGCCCGUAGACGGAGGAGGAGGACGCCCACACCACGGCCGGCUGCGGGUCCGCCUCCUUGCACGCCUCCAGCAGGGACACCAGCCCCGCGAUGUUGGAGUGCACGUAGGACGCCGGGUUCUCCAUGGCGUACCGCACCCCAGCCUGUGCCGCCAGGUGGAGGACGUGCGUGAAGGGCACCACGUCGAAGAGCUUGGUGAGCAGGCGGCCGUCGGUGAUGUCGCCCUCCACCACGAACACGCCGUGCGACGCCAGCAGCGCGCGCCGGGCCUUCUUCAGCGACGGGUCGUAGUACUUGUUGAAGUUGUCGAUGCCCACCACGCCGUCGCCGCGCUUCCGGAGGGCCAGCGAGCAGUGCGUGCCCACGAACCCGGCGGCGCCGGUCACCAGCACGGACAGCCCCGCGCCCUCCGCCGACCCGGGCGGCCGGCGGGGCGACGCCGACGCGCGGAUCUGCCGCUCCCAGUGCAGCCCGCCCCAGGACGCGGCAAAGUAGCGCGACGAGGUAUCCACGAAGGAGUGGAAGCUGAGGUACGUGGCCGUCAUGGCCACGAGGAAGAGCGCCCACAGGAACAUGGUGCCCGUGGAGGCGAAGCACCGGUGCAGCUGCCGGGUCAUGGCCCCCGCCCGCUCGAUCUUCACCUUGCCCGGCGUCGACGGCAGCAUGUCCUCCUCCUCCUCGGCUAG